rnacentral:rRNA from 1 species
UACGUAGGGGGCUAGCGUUGUCCGGAUUUAUUGGGCGUAAAGAGCGUGUAGGCGGCCAGGUAGGUCUGCUGUGAAAACUCGAGGCUCAACCUCGAGACGUCGGCGGAAACCAUCUGGCUAGAGUCCGGAAGAGGAGAGUGGAAUUCCUGGUGUAGCGGUGAAAUGCGCAGAUAUCGUGAGGAAGACCAGUUGCGAAGGCGGAUCUCUGGGCAGUUCCUGACACUGAGGCACGAAGGCCAGGGGAGCAAACGGG